AUAGAUUCUUUUGACUUGACAUAAAUGCCACAGAUUUGUUUUUAUUUUAAUGAAGCCCAAUGACAGGAGAUCCACCAAUAAACUGGAGCCUUUGAAGCCUAAAAUAUUUAGCAACUGGCCCUUUAAUGUGUUGACCUUUGGACUAAAGGAACUGGGAGGACUUUGGACUGGAAGAAAGAACACAAUAUGACAACCGCUCUCAAAUAUUUGCCGGACUCAACAGGGAGCUGGAUCCAUCCAUCACCAGGGAAUCUUUACUAUGGAACACUCUCCUACCUAUGAAGAAAGAGGAAAGAAAGAACCUAAGACAUCAGAGAGCCACUUAGGAUUAAGAACGCAAGCUGCCCCCAAUAUGCAUCCUCUGUCCUUAAAGACCUGAGCUACGAACAUGGAAAAGAUUGAAAAACACUGCCUUCAGUCUAUCUUACAGGUACUUCCACAUGAAUAUAAACAGAUCUAUCACUUUGUGUUUACUGGCAACAUGGAUGGAAUUUCCAGAAUGGAACAGUAGGUUAAUUAUCUUUUU